AUUGAACGCUGGCGGCAGGCCUAACACAUGCAAGUCGAGCGGAUGGAGGGAGCUUGCUCCUGGAUUCAGCGGCGGACGGGUGAGUAAUGCCUAGGAAUCUGCCUGGUAGUGGGGGAUAACGUCCGGAAACGGGCGCUAAUACCGCAUACGUCCUGAGGGGGAAAGUGGGGGAUCUUCGGACCUCACGCUAUCAGAUGAGCCUAGGUCGGAUUAGCUAGUUGGUGGGGUAAAGGCCUACCAAGGCGACGAUCCGUAACUGGUCUGAGAGGAUGAUCAGUCACACUGGAACUGAGACACGGUCCAGACUCCUACGGGAGGCAGCAGUGGGGAAUAUUGGACAAUGGGCGAAAGCCUGAUCCAGCCAUGCCGCGUGUGUGAAGAAGGUCUUCGGAUUGUAAAGCACUUUAAGUUGGGAGGAAGGGCAGUAAGUUAAUACCUUGCUGUUUUGACGUUACCAACAGAAUAAGCACCGGCUAACUUCGUG
rnacentral:rRNA from 1 species